rnacentral:rRNA from 1 species
UCUAGUCUGCCCACUGAAUAUAAAUUAUUUGAAGGGCCGCGGUAUUUUGACUGUGCGAAGGUAGCGUAAUCAUUAGUCUUUUAAUUGAAGGCUUGUAUGAAUGGCUGGAUGAGGUGGAUACUGUUUUAUAUUUAUUUAAAUUGAAUUUAGAUUUUAAGUAAAAAUACUUAAAUAAUAUUAAGGGACGAGAAGACCCUAUAGAGUUUAAUAAAUGUAGUAAUUAAUUAGGUUAAAAAUUAAUUUAUAAUUAAUAUGAAGUUUAUUUAAUUGGGGAGAUUUAAAGAUAAAUAUAACUCUUUUUAAAUUUUAAUGUUAUAUCUAGUUUUGUGAUCCAUUAAUAAUGAUUAAAAGAUUAAAUUACCUUAGGGAUAACAGCAUAAUUUCCUUUAAGAGUUCAUAUCGAAAAGGAAGAUUGUGACCUCGAUGUUGGAUUAAGAUUAGUCUUAAGGUGUAGAUGUUUAUAGGCUAGGUCUGUUCGA